AUUUAGUAAAGUAACUUAAUGCUAUGAAAAGAAUAAUAUAUAUUUUAACGUAUUUUCAAGUACAGUUUCAAGGCAUGAUGAUUGUUCUAGUCUCUUAUAUUUUAUGAUGGUUUUCUUAGCAUUAAUUAGUUGUAUUUAUGUGAAUGUAUUUCAGGAAGCCAGCUGGAAAAUACACAAAAACGCUUUCUAGGUUUUCUAGGAAGAAUUUCUUUGAUUGAUGUAUUUCCUGGUUUUUUGUGUUUCUAUAGCCAUUAUGAUGUGUUAAUAAUUUUUGAUUUUUAAGUCUUUGCAUAUAUUGUCUUUUUUUAAUAGAUGUGCAUAAAUUUUUAAGAACGUUUGAUAAAGAACAUUUUGUAAGUUAGACCGAUUAUUGGUAUGUAACUACCAAACUUUUAAAUGCAGAAAUUUACAGUAAUGAAACAAAAAAAUUCUUGUCAGGGAUAUAAAAAAAAAGCUUGUGUGCCUUUAAUAAGGAGCUUUCUUGAGUUUGUUAUAUAUUUUACCAAAAAAAUUCCUGUUAUCUUUGGCAACAUGAGGUUUCCACAUUAACCUGUGAUUUGCAUUUAGUUUCCUCCCAGCCCUGAUUUUUCUUCUUGCUUGUAAAAUUGCAUGGAAAUACACAUUCAUGUGUUUUUUAGUACCUAGAAAGUGCCAUUUUUAAUUCUGAUUUGUCUUGUUAUUCUGGCAAGAGAGACAAAUAAACACUGGAGUGGUGAGAGGAGGGGCUGCAAAUUCCAGCCUACACCAACAGAUGUCGCCAUACUCUAUAAACUCCACCUUUAACAAGGGAGGAAACUGUUCGAAGUAAUCGCACUCCAUGUAAAAACGAAUUAUCCAGAACAGCUUGAGCCAGUGAUAGUAACUGUUACUGUGUUAGACAACUUUCACACCGCUGUGGCGGAAUUGUAUCUCACUAGAUUUUGUUUAAAUUGAGCAAUACCGAAGGGUUUCUAAUAAGCAUGACCAGGAGGUCAUAGGUCAUGCCACAAUGUCUCCGUUGGAUUUAAGAGCAGACUUUGACUUAUUUUGUUUUCUUAAAACCAAGGUGUACUUACUGAUGUGUUUCAGAUUAUUGUCCAUGUUAGUAUUCCAAAUUCUCUACAGCUAACAGUAGCUGCAUUUUCAUUGAUCAUGUAAUUGCACAAUUUCACAUUUUGAAAAUAAAUUUGCUUAAUAGAAAAAUAGUUGUUUU